CUCUGAUCAUCAAAAAUCUCCUCAUUGACCUACUACAGCUAGGGUCCUGAGUUGUAAAGUGGACCUGGUAAACCAUUUUGGUCCAAAGCGUUUCAGUUGAGAAGAAACCUCCAUCAUAAUGCUCACUGCUUGACCAGGAGUAACCCGUCUCUCCAUCCCGUCCCAUCAGCAUCAAGAGUGCAACCGAAACAUCAAUGAGCAAUGAUGUUAUCCCCUUGGCAACGAGAUGCUAUCCCUGCAUCCUGAGUGGUAUGAGGAGAGCAGCCGGAUGGCUACGGGGAAGAUGAUGAGGAGCUGCUUGACCAUGAGUUGACCAUCUGAACAUCUUAUUUGAUGGAUCGCAUCAACUGAGUGCACCUGAGCUCAUCAUUGUUUGGUGUGAUGUUAUCACCAUAGCAACGAGAUGCUGUCUGUACAUUCAGCAGGACAAGAGGAUGGCUUAAGGAGGAGGGAUAGGAUUAAGAGAUCUCGCCGCUGCCGCCACCGCCGAGAUGCGUGAAAUCCUAGAAAGAUGAAACUUGGGGCAGAUGCUUCUACUUGUCACAUCAUCACGCACCAUACCAAGCUGGAGGGGAAACUUCUCGCCUCUCUCGCUCUCCUUGGGAUCUCUGCCUUUACCCCCUCCUCCCCGUUCCCCAUCUUCAAGAUUCCCCAAGAGGACUGGUGGAGAUGAGGGAUGCGGUGUUACGAUGAUGGAGUUACAGCAUCCGGUAAACUCCUUCUGAUUAGUCACCCAACGGUAGGCGGCCUCCCGAGAUAGUUAAAGAUUAAUUCCCAAGCGAUGGACUUUGAUUGUUUUCUUUAAUCUUUGGGAUAGUUUAGCAGCAUUAUUGGAUUUCUGGGUCAACUCCGUAGGUAUCUGUUAUAUUCCAUUACCAUAAUGUGUUCUUUUUUCUGUUUGUUAGAGCAGUGUAUUCAUUAAGAAGAUUUAUUCAUUCUUGGGGAAAAAUGUGAUUGUGUGGGUAUAAUCCUUGUAAAAAAAUUGUCUGGAUUAUACAUUUUGAGAAAUGAAGAUAUAAUUGGAUAAUCCAUCUCACCAAACUAAAAGGGAUGAUAUUCAAUGACAUUAUGGUACAAUAAUACAAUGUUUUCUUAAAAUUAUGUUGGCUUGACUUAUUUACAUGUGGAUAGAAGGUUGCAUGUACUUUGGAAUAGUAGUUUAGUGAGCCCAAAAUUUUUAGGGGGCCAGACAAGUUGUAUGGGGCAAAAUUUUGCACAAACUACAAGUGAGUGAAAGGAGUUAGAAAAUUUUCAAAUUUCAAAUCUUUUUGAUACAAAAAUUACACUCUAAAAAAGGUUGAGUGAAAAAUUGUCCAAUAUUGGGUAGAAAGGGACCAAGCAUGUUUGCUGUAUAAUUUUUCCUUCAUAUUGGGCAAAAUACAAGUUUAAAGGGUAAAUUUCAACACAACAUUGCGUAAAAUUUAUAAAGUAUUUGGUAUCCUUUUACCCAGCAAACAUACAAGUUCCCAUUUUACCCAAUAUUGGGUAAACAUUUUUAGAGUGCAGCAUGAUUUUGACAUAAUAUCUAGA